rnacentral:rRNA from 1 species
UACGUAGGUGGCAAGCGUUGUCCGGAUUUACUGGGCGUAAAGGGCGCGUAGGCGGCACGGCAAGUCAGGAGUGAAAGGCCUGGGCUCAACCGAGGAACUGCUUUUGAGACUGCCGAGCUAGAGUGCAGAAGGGGCAACUGGAAUUCCCAGUGUAGCGGUGAAAUGCGUAGAUAUUGGGAAGAACACCUGAGGCGAAGGCGGGUUGCUGGGCUGACACUGACGCUGAGGCGCGAAAGCCAGGGGAGCAAACGGG